AACGAACGCUGGCGGUAUGCCUAACACAUGCAAGUCGAACGAGACCUUCGGGUCUAGUGGCGCACGGGUGCGUAACGCGUGGGAACCUGCCCUUAGGUUCGGAAUAACUCCCCGAAAGGGGUGCUAAUACCGGAUAAUGUCUUCGGACCAAAGAUUUAUCGCCUUUGGAUGGGCCCGCGUUGGAUUAGCUAGUUGGUAGGGUAAAAGCCUACCAAGGCGACGAUCCAUAGCUGGUCUGAGAGGAUGAUCAGCCACACUGGGACUGAGACACGGCCCAGACUCCUACGGGAGGCAGCAGUGGGGAAUAUGGGACAAUGGGCGAAAGCCUGAUCCAGCAAUGCCGCGUGAGUGAUGAAGGCCUUAGGGUUGUAAAGCUCUUUUACCCGGGAUGAUAAUGACAGUACCGGGAGAAUAAGCUCCGGCUAACUCCGU
rnacentral:rRNA from 1 species